GUUCUGUUCUGGUAUGAUCCAGUUGGGGCUGGCACAAGCCGUUCAUUGUUCACUAAUUGUUUUCUCUAAGAGCAGCUCCUGAGCAAGGGACUGGAUUUCAGAAGAACUAGAUGUUCUACUAGCAAAAAGAGUUCCAUUUGACAGGCCUGAAGAAGAGCUGCCAUGAAGAUAUCAAUGACAAUGGAGAUGCCACACCAGGAGAGGAACGAGAACGGCCUGCAUGGGGACUGAAUUCUUUCUUUCUCUGCACAGGACUAAUUUUCCUUCCUUUGUUGUUACAGAAGGUGAUUUUCUUACAGAGAAGCAUCUGCUCUCACCCUUGUGGCACAGGUGGCCUUCUCCUGCCAUCAAGUCCAGAGGAAUGCAUGCUGCCGGGGCUUAGCAGAACUUCCUCGUCCCUUCUAUUCCUGUGGCAGUGGGCUCAGAGGACUCAGGCUGGGGAGUGAGAAACUCCCAGAAUGAAGCCUCCUCACAGGAGUUUCUGCUGUGAGUCACUGAGCCAUGGUAACUGGGUGUCCCACAUCUGCUCUGACAGUCCGCUCAGCUCCCGGGUCAUGGAUGAGCUGACUGAUCAUCAGCAACUGCAGAGCACAUGGAAUGCCACCCUUGCAAGAAAACUCCAGAUCCUGAGUUCAGGCCCCAUGCUUCAUUCCUGACCAAGAGAAUGCUGGGUACUGAGCAGUGACAGGCAUCCAUUCAGAGGCCCCUAGGUGCCUUCCUGAUUUUUUUUUCCUGGUGCAUGCCUCUCUGGCUCAGGUGGGAGAAGAGGAGAGACAGACUUGAACCUGUCAGAAGACAAGGACCAUGGUGGAUGUUUGCAGUUCCAGGUUGGACGACUGAGAAGCUGGGGAGACAGAUGCCACAGUGACUGAGUGUCUCUCACAUGGUGCUCCUGAGCUGAGACCAGGAAAUAACAGAAGUGAAAAUGGUGGAUACAGGUCUCCACAUCUGAAAGUUGGCAGCCAAGUUAGGGAGACAGUCAAUCUCCUAACACUCAGGUGGGAAGCAGGCUACAGGGCUGAUACAGCUGAAAAUGAGACUCACAAUUUGAUCACACGGGUGCACAGUGACAACGUCGAUUGAAUUUGCAGCUCUGACAGAUGUGUUUUAUAAAGGCCGGGGCACUGAUCAGAGAGGAGGAGGAUGCCAGGGCAUGUUAUUGAACUUGGAUGAGUCUGAAAAACAGCUGCUUCUUGCUGUCUGGAGUGAUGAGUCUCUCCUUUCCUGAGAAGCCCGUGAGGAGUUCACAGGAGCAACUUCCCCAGGAGAACAUCGAGUCUCGUCUGCUGAGCUGCCAGCAGAAGCCUCUUCCUGUGCCCCAGGAUACUUGUCUCAGAGGAGAUCAUUAUGGUACCAUGGGAAUUUUCCUAUGACCCAUUGAUAGAGCAAGAAAAGACACAACCCCAGUUUGCAGAUGCUUUUAUUUAGUACAGCAAGGCUUCCAGACCAGCAGUUCAUGAAGAUGAGGUCUGUUUGGUUGGCUACAGAUCCAAACAGAAGUGUGCGCCU
rnacentral:lncRNA from 1 species